rnacentral:snRNA from 1 species
GACUGGUACGUAAUCAAAG